UACGGCGAAACUGCGAACGGCUCAUUAUAUAAGUUAUCGUUUAUUUGAUAGCACCUUUUUACUUGGGUAACCGUGGUAAUUCUAGAGCUAAUACAUGCUAAAAAUCCCGACUCCGGAAGGGAUGUGUUUAUUAGAUUCAAAACCAAUGCCCCCUGGGCUCCCUGGUGAAUCAUGAUAACCGCUCGAAUCGCACGGCCUUGCGCUGGCGAUGGUUCAUUCAAAUUUCUUCCCUAUCAACUUUCGAUGUUUGGGUAGUGGCCAAACAUGGUUGCAACGGGUAACGGAGGGUUAGGGCUCGACCCCGGAGAAGGAGCCUGAGAGACGGCUACUACAUCCAAGGAAGGCAGCAGGCGCGCAAAUUACCCAAUCCCGACACGGGGAGGUAGUGACAAUAAAUACCGAUAUAGGGCUCUUUUGGGUCUUAUAAUUGGAAUGAGUACAAUUUAAAUCCCUUAACGAGGAACAAUUGGAGGGCAAGUCUGGUGCCAGCAGCCGCGGUAAUUCCAGCUCCAAUAGCGUAUAUUAAAGUUGUUGUGGUUAAAAAGCUCGUAAGUUAAACANNNNNNNNNNGCUCGUAGUUGAACCUUGGGCCUGGCUGGCCGGUCCGCCUCACCGCGUGCACUGGUCCGGCCGGGCCUUUCCCUCCGCGGAACCCCAUGCCCUUCACUGGGCGUGGCGGGGAAACGGGACUUUUACUUUGAAAAAAUUAGAGUGCUCCAGGCAGGCCUAUGCUCGAAUACAUUAGCAUGGAAUAAUGGAAUAGGACGCGCGGUUCUAUUUUGUUGGUUUCUAGGACCGCCGUAAUGAUUGAUAGGGACAGUCGGGGGCGUCAGUAUUCAACCGUCAGAGGUGAAAUUCUUGGACCGGUUGAAGACUAACUACUGCGAAAGCAUUCGCCAAGGAUGUUUUCAUUAAUCAGGAACGAAAGCUAGGGGAUCGAAGACGAUCAGAUACCGUCGUAGUCUUAGCCAUAAACUAUGCCGACUAGGGAUCGGGCGAUGUUAUUCUUUGACUCGCUCGGCACCUUCCGAGAAAUCAAAGUGC
rnacentral:rRNA from 1 species